rnacentral:rRNA from 1 species
AGCGUACACGGUGGAUGCCCUGGCAGUCAGAGGCGAUGAAGGACGUGCUAAUCUGCGAUAAGCGCCGGUAAGGUGAUAUGAACCGUUAUAACCGGCGAUACCCGAAUGGGGAAACCCAGUGUGAUUCGUCACACUAUCAUUAACUGAAUCCAUAGGUUAAUGAGGCGAACCGGGGGAACUGAAACAUCUAAGUACCCCGAGGAAAAGAAAUCAACCGAGAUUCCCCCAGUAGCGGCGAGCGAACGGGGAGGAGCCCAGAGCCUGAAUCAGCAUGUGUGUUAGUGGAAGCGUCUGGAAAGGCGCGCGAUACAGGGUGACAGCCCCGUACACAAAAGCGCAUGUGCUGUGAGCUCGAUGAGUAGGGCGGGACACGUGGUAUCCUGUCUGAAUAUGGGGGGACCAUCCUCCAAGGCUAAAUACUCCUGACUGACCGAUAGUGAACCAGUACCGUGAGGGAAAGGCGAAAAGAACCCCGGCGAGGGGAGUGAAAAAGAACCUGAAACCGUGUACGUACAAGCAGUGGGAGCACAGGUUUACCUGUGUGACUGCGUACCUUUUGUAUAAUGGGUCAGCGACUUAUAUUCUGUAGCAAGGUUAACCGAAUAGGGGAGCCGGAGGGAAACCGAGUCUUAAUUGGGCGUUAAGUUGCAGGGUAUAGACCCGAAACCCGGUGAUCUAGCCAUGGGCAGGUUGAAGGUUGGGUAACACUAACUGGAGGACCGAACCGACUAAUGUUGAAAAAUUAGCGGAUGACCUGUGGCUGGGGGUGAAAGGCCAAUCAAACCGGGAGAUAGCUGGUUCUCCCCGAAAGCUAUUUAGGUAGCGCCUCGUGAAUUCAUCUCCGGGGGUAGAGCACUGUUUCGGCUAGGGGGCCAUCCCGGCUUACCAACCCGAUGCAAACUGCGAAUACCGGAGAAUGUUAUCACGGGAGACACACGGCGGGUGCUAACGUCCGUCGUGAAGAGGGAAACAACCCAGACCGCCAGCUAAGGUCCCAAAGUCAUGGUUAAGUGGGAAACGAUGUGGGAAGGCCCAGACAGCCAGGAUGUUGGCUUAGAAGCAGCCAUCAUUUAAAGAAAGCGUAAUAGCUCACUGGUCGAGUCGGCCUGCGCGGAAGAUGUAACGGGGCUAAACCAUGCACCGAAGCUGCGGCAGCGAACGUAUCACUUAAAGCGAUUCAGCGGGUUACGAUUGACGGAGCGAAGCGACGUCAAAGCGUAUACAAAGUCGAGUCGGUUUAAGGAUACGUUCGUUGGGUAGGGGAGCGUUCUGUAAGCCUGUGAAGGUGGCCUGUGAGGGUUGCUGGAGGUAUCAGAAGUGCGAAUGCUGACAUAAGUAACGAUAAAGCGGGUGAAAAGCCCGCUCGCCGGAAGACCAAGGGUUCCUGUCCAACGUUAAUCGGGGCAGGGUGAGUCGACCCCUAAGGCGAGGCCGAAAGGCGUAGUCGAUGGGAAACGGGUUAAUAUUCCCGUACUUGGUGUUACUGCGAAGGGGGGACGGAGAAGGCUAUGUUGGCCGGGCGACGGUUGUCCCGGUUUAAGCGUGUAGGUGUGUGUUCCAGGUAAAUCCGGUUCACUUUAACACUGAGGCGUGACGACGAGGCACUACGGUGCUGAAGCAACAAAUGCCCUGCUUCCAGGAAAAGCCUCUAAGCAUCAGGUAACAUCAAAUCGUACCCCAAACCGACACAGGUGGUCAGGUAGAGAAUACCAAGGCGCUUGAGAGAACUCGGGUGAAGGAACUAGGCAAAAUGGUGCCGUAACUUCGGGAGAAGGCACGCUGACACGUAGGUGAAGUGAUUUACUCAUGGAGCUGAAGUCAGUCGAAGAUACCAGCUGGCUGCAACUGUUUAUUAAAAACACAGCACUGUGCAAACACGAAAGUGGACGUAUACGGUGUGACGCCUGCCCGGUGCCGGAAGGUUAAUUGAUGGGGUCAGCGCAAGCGAAGCUCCUGAUCGAAGCCCCGGUAAACGGCGGCCGUAACUAUAACGGUCCUAAGGUAGCGAAAUUCCUUGUCGGGUAAGUUCCGACCUGCACGAAUGGCGUAAUGAUGGCCAGGCUGUCUCCACCCGAGACUCAGUGAAAUUGAACUCGCUGUGAAGAUGCAGUGUACCCGCGGCAAGACGGAAAGACCCCGUGAACCUUUACUAUAGCUUGACACUGAACAUUGAGCCUUGAUGUGUAGGAUAGGUGGGAGGCUUUGAAGCGUGGACGCCAGUCUGCGUGGAGCCGACCUUGAAAUACCACCCUUUAAUGUUUGAUGUUCUAACGUGGACCCGUAAUCCGGGUUGCGGACAGUGUCUGGUGGGUAGUUUGACUGGGGCGGUCUCCUCCUAAAGAGUAACGGAGGAGCACGAAGGUUGGCUAAUCCUGGUCGGACAUCAGGAGGUUAGUGCAAUGGCAUAAGCCAGCUUGACUGCGAGCGUGACGGCGCGAGCAGGUGCGAAAGCAGGUCAUAGUGAUCCGGUGGUUCUGAAUGGAAGGGCCAUCGCUCAACGGAUAAAAGGUACUCCGGGGAUAACAGGCUGAUACCGCCCAAGAGUUCAUAUCGACGGCGGUGUUUGGCACCUCGAUGUCGGCUCAUCACAUCCUGGGGCUGAAGUAGGUCCCAAGGGUAUGGCUGUUCGCCAUUUAAAGUGGUACGCGAGCUGGGUUUAGAACGUCGUGAGACAGUUCGGUCCCUAUCUGCCGUGGGCGCUGGAGAACUGAGGGGGGCUGCUCCUAGUACGAGAGGACCGGAGUGGACGCAUCACUGGUGUUCGGGUUGUCAUGCCAAUGGCACUGCCCGGUAGCUAAAUGCGGAAGAGAUAAGUGCUGAAAGCAUCUAAGCACGAAACUUGCCCCGAGAUGAGUUCU